UAGUCCACGCUGUAAACGAUGGAUACUAAAUGUUCGGCCUAAUUGAGGGCUGAGUGUUCAAGCGAAAGCAAUAAGUAUCCCACCUGGGGAGUACGUUCGCAAGAAUGAAACUCAAAGGAAUUGACGGGGGCCCGCACAAGCGGUGGAGCAUGUGGUUUAAUUCGAUGGUACGCGAGGAACCUUACCUAGGCUAGAAUGCGCGUGACCGAUCCUGAAAGGGAUUUUUCCUUCGGGACACAAAGCAAGGUGCUGCAUGGUUGUCGUCAGCUCGUGCCGUGAGGUGUUGGGUUAAGUCCCGCAACGAGCGCAACCCCUAUCCUUAGUUGCCAUCAUUUAGUUGGGGACUCUAAGGAGACUGCCUGCGCAAGCAGUGAGGAAGGUGGGGACGACGUCAAAUCAUCAUGGCCCUUACGCCUAGGGCUACACACGUGCUACAAUGGACGGUACAGAGGGUUGCGACACCGCGAGGUGAAGCUAAUCUCAAAAAGCCGUUACUCAGUUCGGA
rnacentral:rRNA from 1 species